rnacentral:lncRNA from 1 species
AAGUCUAUAAGAUCAAAAUAACCACUCGUAUACUGAACAUAGGUCGAAAAAGCCAUACAAUCUUUUACGUACAUGACAUCUGUCUACAAGCCUCUAAGAAUACAUAAUUUUCAUAAAGGUCAGGACAAAGUCCCGCCAUACCAAACAAUACACGUCUAAAUUAUACUAACCAAAUAAGCAACUUCGAAGCAAAUGGAGCGCACCAACAUCUUUCCCUGAGCUGAUAGCCUACUUGGAGGGCUCUCGACCUAUCUAUCGGGACCUACGAGCAUGAAAUGCAGCGUCCCACGACAAAAGGACGUCAAUACGAAUAAUAUACAGAGUAUGUAAGGUACAUAAUUAAGUACAUAAAAGACAUGGAACAAAUAUAGAGUAAGUGGCUCAGCCUGUAAGUCUAGAUAACUAUGUAAAUCAUGAAAUACUUAUACUGUCAUGCAUAUGCGUAUGAAUGUCUUGUUGUGCAUAGGUACAUAUGUUCAUAACAUUAUCAAGCCUCUGAGGGCAUCCCAUCGUAUCAUCUCUACCACUGUGGGCAAAAAUCAUCAACGUAUACCAGCUGAUCAGGUGGUGGUGCGUAUAUAACGCCAUAACCUUUCCCAUAUCCCAUAUACAUAUAUAUAAGCAUAUAUAACGCCAUCUGUUCAUGGGUCAACGUGCAUGUAUAAAUGCAUAUGAAAUACAUUAAUAAAAUCUCUCGGUACAUCAUAAGACCAUUAUGCCUCUAAUUAAUAUCAUGAAAAAAACUUUACCAUCUUACGUAUUUUUGAGACGCAUGAAUAAAUGAUAGAAUAAUAUGACACAUGGGGAAUCAAGAACAUAAGCAUCUUUAGCAUUUCUAUGAGUAUAGUCAUUUAUGGAAGUUGUGCAUUUGUUUGUUUCGUUUGUAUUGUAUGAAUCAUGCCAAAAGGAAAUAAGGGAUAACCUUAACAUACCUGAACCAAUUCUCAUUUGGGGAAACACGUAACGGUGGAUCGAAGUAGGAAAAAAUACGUAUGAUAUUCUUGAGAAAGAUUGUACCUCGUUUUUUUUUGAAUUUGCAUAACACGUUGGAUCUUGUAGCAUUUCUCUCUGAAAUUUCACGUUGGAUCUUGUAAGAUUUCAGAGAAAUUUCACGUUGGAUCAUUGUUAUUUCUCUUUUAAUGGUAUAAAAAUGUUAUUUUGCUUAACUUUCCAAAGUCCUAUACUUUUCCAAUAAAGAGACCAUUCAAUCUUUACGUGUAAACAAGUUAUCACUUUGUCUAGUAACUCAUUUUGUAUAAUUUGCCACCUUGGCUAAGCUUAUGCCAUGUGGCAAUCCAAAAAAGAGUCUUAUCCACUUAAUACCAUAAUUAUCUUCACUAUUAAUUAAUUAUCCACAUAAUUAAGGAGUAUCUCAAAUUACUUAAAAUACUAUCCACUUUUAACAUACCUUAUACACCUUACUGUUACACCUCCUUUUUUUCCCGAAAGAGAUAUAAGGGAAUUUUUCCAAUUAAAGUGACAAUAAUUGAAACGAGAUUAUUUAUUCAAAUUCAGAGUCGCCACUUGGAAUAGUUUAUGGUGUCACAAGUCACGGGUUUAAAAUCUCGAAUCGAGGAAGUUCGACUCUAUUUUACAGUCCGCGAAACACAGAAAUCCGGGUAAGAAAUUCUGUUAAUCCGAGAGAAGGUGUUAGGCAUUCCCAAGUUCUGUGAUUUUAGCACGGUCGCUUUAAUCAUAUACCUGGCUUAUUAAAUUGUUUAAUUACUUAUUUUUAAACCUGUGUGAAUGUAAAAAUUAGCUGCUUUUAAUUUCUUGAUUUAUUCGUAAUUACGGAAUUAUCUUAAAACGAGUCAUGCGUACGUGUACUCAUUUUGUUUGGCACGUCAAGAAUCAUGUCACACGUAUGUGUCCACAAUUCUUAACAACUUAUUAUUAUGUAGAUUGUUUCGUCCAAAAUUGCGCACACACAUACCUUGGUUUAUUUGUGGAAAUCAAAAUCAUAUCACACAAACGUGCACGCAAUCAUAAUAACAUCUUCAUAUCUAUAAAGGAUCACAUUCAACAAAUCCUCCAUCUCUAAUCCGAAAGUUACUCGGGGUUCAAGAAACAUAAAGUUCUAUGCUGAGAGCUUUUAAAGAUUUUAAAGCCCCAAUCCCUUCAAAAUUGAACAAAGAAAUUAUCCUCAAUUAAGAUUAUCACCUUUCAACUUUUCUAUGGAGACCUUUCAUUUUCCUGGAGUGAUACUUGAUAUACGAUCGUGCUAUUUAGAAGAUGGUAUAAGAAAUAGAAUAAAUUAUAUGCUAAGAGUAAUUCUGAAACAAAAUACAUUUAUAAUACCAAUUAACAUUAUGAUGAUCUGCUUGACCAUUCCCUUUCUGAACAUCAAACAAAGGACACCCAAAAACUAUUUUUAUUAUGUUUUUUGUAUUGGUAUGAGACAUCUGAACAUCAAGAUACCGUCACUGCUGAAAUGCUUUUCAAACAUAUUCCACAUUUAGAAAUUAAGAUGGUUAGAUAAUCAGAAUUUAUACAUAAUGUGCAAGAAGCAAAUGAAAGAGUUUCCUAAACAAACAUGCGACCUAAUAACAUCUCAAUAUUUACAAUUCUAUUUCAAACUAAACAAGUAAAUCAAUUAUAAAAGAACAGAUAAGAGUCAUCAGCUAAAAUGCUAAACAUUAACAAAAGAAACUAUGAGAUCACAAUUUAUCUAUGUUGACCGAAAAGCAUAGAGCAAAUGAAAUAAUUCCAAACAUCACCAAAUUAUAUGGCACCACGAAAAUGAACAGACCUUUUAUAUAUGAGAGUAAAAGAUGGAAACUAGGUGAUAAAUCUCAAGCAAACUGGACCGGGAACAGAGAACUCACCAGCGACCUCGGUAAUAGAGCUUCGGCCUCGAAAAGCUGAAAAUCUAUUUCUGUUUCGAUUUCCUUCUUCAAAAUGAUACUGGACACAAGAAAUUGAAAGAUUUUGGAUAUUUUCUCGCUGUAGUAACCAAGUCAUUCCACCCCUUCCCUCUUUCGUCCGUUUAGUACCUUUGUGUGCGCGUGUUUUGUGAAGAAUAGAGAGGAUGGCUGCGGAGAUGGAGUUCAGAGAGGGAGAUAUGGUCGUUUGAAGGGGUUACUGGUUUUUGUGGUGGUCGUGAGUGAGUUGAAGAAGCAACAUCAAUUGCUUGUUAGUUGUCACCGGUCAUUACUUGGGAAGAAGAAGGGUGUUCUGGGUGUGCAACUAGGUUUUCCGGCGGCUUUCAUGUGGUGAGGGAGCAGCGGCAGAAGGGUGAGAGGCGCUAAAGUGGUGCGAGGGAAAUGGAUAGAGAAGAAGUAGCGGGUCCUUUGGGUGAGGGUUUUGCGGCUGGUUUGUGUUGUUAUAGGAAGAAGGUAGCCGAUGAAGGGGGGGGGGGGUCUUUUGUUUAUGGCUGCUGCGACUGAUCUCCAAAGUUAGGUAGUGAGGGUUCACAUGAUAAACAACUGGGNNNNNNNNNNNNNNNNNNNNNNNNNUUCACGAUGAGAGAUGGCGGGGGGGGGGGGGGACAUUUUUUUGGUUCUAGCGUUAGGUUUCUAGAGUUAUUUUAGGUCCGUUGCGGCUGAUUUGUGUUGAAUGGGGCAGGGGUCGAUGCUUCUCUAGGUUAGAAAAUUAGGUCUCAAGUUUUUUGUUGUUCCAUUUUUUAUGAAGAAG